GGUUGCAGUUGCCUAGUGGUUAGAGCGUCUGCUUCUGAUGCAGGAGGUCAUGGGUUUGAUCCACAAUCGAGUCA